rnacentral:rRNA from 1 species
GACGAACGCUGGCGGCGUGCUUAACACAUGCAAGUCGAGCGGUAAGGCCCUUUCGGGGGUACACGAGCGGCGAACGGGUGAGUAACACGUGGGUGACCUGCCCUUAGCUCUGGGAUAAGCCUGGGAAACUGGGUCUAAUACCGGAUAUGACUCCAUAACGCAUGUUGUGGGGUGGAAAGCCUUGUGCGGCUAGGGAUGGGGCCCGCGGCCUAUCAGCUUGUUGGUGGGGUGAUGGCCACCAAGGCGACGACGGGUAGCCGGCCUGAGAGGGCGACCGGCCACACUGGGACUGAGACACGGCCCAGACUCCUACGGGAGGCAGCA